rnacentral:miRNA from 1 species
UGCAGCAGCUCCACCGCCUCC